UACAGAGGGUGCGAGCGUUGUCCGGAAUCACUGGGCGUAAAGGGCGCGUAGGCGGCCCGGUAAGGUUGCGGUGAAAGCCCGGGGCUCAACCCCGGGUCGGCCGUGGCAACUGCUGGGCUGGAGCACAGUAGAGGCGGGUGGAAUUCCGGGUGUAGCGGUGGAAUGCGUAGAGAUCCGGAAGAACACCGGUGGCGAAGGCGGCCCGCUGGGCAGUGGCUGACGCUGAGGCGCGACAGCGUGGGGGAGCAAACAGG
rnacentral:rRNA from 1 species